rnacentral:rRNA from 1 species
UACGAAGGGGGCUAGCGUUGCUCGGAAUCACUGGGCGUAAAGGCGCGUAGGCGGCCAUUCAAGUCGGAGGUGAAAGCCCAGGGCUCAACCCUGGAAUUGCCUUCGAUACUGUCUGGCUAGAGACCGGAAGAGGUAAGUGGAACUGCGAGUGUAGAGGUGAAAUUCGUAGAUAUUCGCAAGAACACCAGUGGCGAAGGCGGCUUACUGGUCCGGUUCUGACGCUGAGGCGCGAAAGCGUGGGAGCAACAGG